rnacentral:rRNA from 1 species
AGGACGAACGCUGGCGGCGUGGAUUAGGCAUGCAAGUCGAACGAGAAAGGGUCUUCGGACCUGAGUAAAGUGGCGAACGGGUGAGUAACGCGUAGAUAACCUACCUCUAAAUUGGGGAUAAUCCAGGGAAACUUGGCUUAAUACCGAAUGUGAUCGAGAGAUUAAAGAUGGCCUCUGUUUACAAGCUGUCGUUUAGAGAUGGGUCUGCGUCCUAUUAGCUAGUUGGUGAGGUAAUGGCUCACCAAGGCGAUGAUAGGUAGGCGGCCUUAACGGGUGGUCGCCCACACUGGGAUUGAGAUACGGCCCAGACUCCUACGGGAGGCAGCAGUCGAGAAUAGUCUACAAUGGACGAAAGUCUGAUAGUGCGACGCCGCGUGGAUGAAGAAGCUUUUCGGAGUGUAAAAUCCUUUUAUGUGUGAGCAAAGGUACAUUGUUUAAGAGACAUUGUAUAAGAUAUUAGCACAUGAAUAAGCCACGGCUAACUCCGUGCCAGCAGCCGCGGUAAUACGGGGGUGGCGAGCGUUGACCGGAAUCACUAGGCGUAAAGGGCAAGUAGGCGGAAUGGUAAGUCAGUCGUUAAAGACCGGAGCUCAACUUCGGGAAGGCGGUUGAUACUGUCAUUCUAGAAUUAGGUAGGGGAAGACGGAAUUCCUGGUGUAGCGGUGGAAUGCGCAGAUAUCAGGAAGAACACCAAAGGCGAAGGCAGUCUUCUAUGCCAUAAUUGACGCUUAAUUGCGAAGGUGUGGGUAUCAAACAGGAUAAGAUACCCUGGUAGUCCACACAGUAAACGAUAGACACUAGGUGUCGGGGGAGAAGAUCCUUCGGUGCCGUAGCUAACGCGUUAAGUGUCUCGCCUGGGGAGUACGAUCGCAAGGUUGAAACUCAAAGGAAUUGACGGGGCCCCGCACAAGCGGUGGAGCAUGUGGUUUAAUUCGAUGCAACGCGAAGAACCUUACCUGGUCUUGACAUCCACAGAAUCCUUCAGAGAUGAGGGAGUGCCCUUCGGGGAACUGUGAGACAGGUGCUGCAUGGCUGUCGUCAGCUCGUGUCGUGAGAUGUUUGGUUAAGUCCAGCAACGAGCGCAACCCCUAUCUUUAGUUACCAUCAUUAAGUUGGGGACUCUAGAGAGACUGCCAGUGUAAUAAACUGGAGGAAGGUGGGGACGACGUCAAGUCAUCAUGGUCCUUAUGACCAGGGCUACACACGUGCUACAAUGGUCGGUACAGAGGGAUGCGAUACCGUAAGGUGGAGCGAAACCCUUAAAGCCGAUCUCAGUUCGGAUUGAGGUCUGCAACUCGACCUCAUGAAGCUGGAAUCGCUAGUAAUCGCGUGUCAGCAUAACGCGGUGAAUACGUUCCCGGGGCUUGUACACACCGCCCGUCAAGUCAGCCGAGUUGAGUGCACCCGAAGUAGGUGAGCUAACCGCAAGGAAGCAGCUUACGAAGGUGUGCUUAGUGAGGGGGACUAAGUCGUAACAAGGUA